rnacentral:sRNA from 1 species
UUGAAAUGAGACCUUUGCUCUGGAGUCUGGCAGGGCUCAGACCCUGCUCAGGACAAGCCCCUAGGACCAGUGGACACUGCCUGUGGUCCGAGUGGGUCCCUGUGCCCUGGGGCAGUUGGCCCAGGAAUGAGGCGGGUGGGGCGGGGGUGACAGAGGUGGGCCAAGGGGACACUACGGCUCUUUGGCACCCGGUCCUUGGUGGUCAGCACCCCGGUGAGGUGCACACGCCCACGGGGGCGCUUUCCCUGCUCGCAGGAGGAUGAGAUGCGCCCAGGAUUUCAACAAGCACCGAGAUCAGGCUGGGUAGGGCUGUGUGACUCCCGGCUGUCCCCCAGCCACCUGUGCUGCCCACGCGCUAGGCCCAUUUCUGCUGGUCCUGGAGGUGGGGCCCUGGGGGUGGGGGCCCUGGUGACCUCAGCGCCCCUCCUUGCUGUCCCCAGGGCUCCUCCUGGCUGCACGUUGGCACCGACCAGCCCUUCGCCUCCAUCUCCAUCGGGGCCUGCUACCAGGUGUGGGCCGUGGCAAGGGACGGCUCCGCCUUCUACCGGGGAUCCGUGUACCCCUCGCAGCCAGCCGGUGACUGCUGGUACCACAUCCCGUCCCCACCGAGACAGAGGCUGAAGCAGGUGUCCGUGGGGCAGACGUCGGUGUAUGCCCUGGAUGAGAAUGGAAACCUGUGGUAUCGCCAAGGGAUCACGCCCAGCUACCCGCAGGGCUCCAGCUGGGAGCACGUGUCCAACAACGUGUGCCGAGUGUCCGUGGGGCCCCUGGACCAGGUCUGGGUGAUCGCCAACAAAGUGCAGGGCAGCCACAGCCUGAGCCGGGGUACAGUGUGUCAUCGCACCGGCGUGCAGCCUCACGAGCCCAAGGGCCACGGCUGGGACUACGGCAUCGGGGGAGGCUGGGACCAUAUCUCUGUCCGGGCCAAUGCCACCAGGGCCCCCCGGAGCUCGUCCCAGGAGCAGGAGCCGAGUGCCCCACCAGAGGCCCAUGGCCCCGUCUGCUGCUGAGGCCCCCCCACACACCUACAUGCAGGGACGGUGCCCAGUUUGGGGGAUCAAGGCUGAGCCAUUCUUGUGCUGGAGUGUGCACCAUGGGAGCAAUGUGGCCCAGGUGGACUCAGGAGGGAACCUGGCCCCAAGGCUGCGGCCACUUCAGAGGCACUGGCUGAGACGGCCCUGAAAUGUGAAGCUCCGCGGACACUCCCGCACGUGUCCCCGUCUGCGAGGAGUCCCGGGGUGUGGGGCAUGGGGUGGGGCUGCACCUCCCAGAGGCCCCUCCCACCCUUCCCUUCCCCUCUCCCUUCUGCCUUUCCAGGACUAGAACCGGGAACCUGGAGCCCUCCGGGAACACCGGCCCUGGGGCAGCAGAGCCAGGAUGGAGCCCUCCUGAGCUGGCAUCUCAGACAGCACCCGGGCCCGCCACCCCUCACCAAGAGAGACGGCCAUGGGGCUCAGGGCCUCUUUACCAUGUGCAGUGACCAUUUCUCAGAGCAGGACUUGCAAAGAGGCUUUAAUUUCAAAAGUGAAGGAAGGAGGCCGGGCGCCGUGGCUCACGCCUGUAAUCCCAGCACUUUGGGAGGCUGAGGUGGGCAGAUCACCUAGGUCAAGAGUUUCAAACCAGACUGGCCAACAUAGUGAAACCCCAUCUCUACUAAAAAUAC